UGCAUUUAGCAGACGCUUUUAUCCAAAGCGACUUACAUUGCAUUCAAGUUACAGCUUCUACUUUUUUUUUUUUUUUUUUAUCAGCUCUUGCUUUCCUUGGGAAUCGAACCCAUGAUCUUGACGUUGCUAGCGCCAUGCUCUACUAUUUGAGCUACAGGAAAGCUGUACAGGGGGAGUACCCUGGGCUCGGGGGUAAGUACCGAGCUCGGUGCCCUCUCCCUGGACAGCACGCCAAAUACGCAUAACCUUUACUCAGUUUAUUAUAUGUAAGUGUGAACUCGUGAAGUGGUGUUUUAUUAACAAAUUUCGGGAGGAGCACGCGCAGAUAAUUAACGCAGCCAAUUCAUCAUCAGCAAUCACACCAUCUAUCCAAUCAGCUCGAGAGAGAACCCCUAUAAAUAAUCAAAGCGGUCUUACCUCCAUCAGUUCUAGUCUUUCAGCAUCCCUCCACCACCCCGACUCCUCACCUUCAGCCUGUUCCUACCCCAGCAUGGGGGGAAUGCUCUGGGUCCGGGCUAAAUGCAGAGCUCGGACCCCUCUCCCCGUACAGGGGGAGUACCCUGGGCUCGGGGGUAAGCCCUCUCCCUGGACAGCACGCCAAAUAUGCAUAACCUUUACUCAGUUUAUUAUAUGUAAGUGUGAACUCGUGAAACGUCAUCCAGGAAUCUGGCCAAUGACAACUGGGCACGCCUCCUACCGCUCAAAUUUGAAUUUACACACCAGUCCGUUGCUGCUCUGUUUAUCUGCAGUCCUGCUCCGUUCAGUGCAGUAGUAAUGGCUUUUACAUGGACUAUCACAUAUCUGACAGAUGAAUUCUUAUUUUGAGUUAUGCGGUGCAGAUUGAGAACGAAAAAGCACGAAUAUGAACAGACACAAUGGCUAAUGGACACAUAUUGGAAAUGGCAGAAGAUAGGACAUGAAACCACCAUUCUUGGACUCUGAAGAAUACUAUGCAAACCAUGCUUUAUUGGAUCUACUGUUAAGUUUUUGUAAUAAAGCUGAGGUUUUGGGAUUGAAAAUCUUCUGCCACAUGAUCUUCCGUAAAAAAAAAAGUCAGUUAUGCAAAUUGGAAAAGACAUGGCGGCUAAUGAACUGGAAGUCUCGCCCAUAGGCUUACUUCCGUGUUUAGGAAUAAGAUGCAGCAAGGAUCCAGCUGAUUACUUCAGAUUUGGUGGACUGCUCUUUAUCUGCUGUGACUGUCACUUCUGGUGCCGAAUCAUGGACCUUUAUUUGUUGACAAAUGUGGUAAUGGCCAGUUUCAAUAGGGAUGUAAUGCAAUGUCUGUCCAACGUUGAAAUCAAUUUAACAUUGGUUUCUGAAGUCAACCCGAUUUUCAUUUUCAACCAAAUUGCAACAUCUGUCCAACGUUGGAGAUUGACAGCAAUUUGACGAUGGGUUCUGACGUUAAUCUUACGUUGGGUUCUGACGUCAACCUGAUUUUCAUUUUCAACCAAAAUGCAAUGUCUAUCCAACGUUGGAGAUUGACGUCAAUCUUACGUUGGGUUCUGACGUCAGUCUGAUUUUAAUUUUCAACUAAAAUGCAACGUCUAUCCAACGUUGGAGAUUGGCGUCAAUCUGACGUUGGGUUCUGACGUCAAUCUGACGUUGGGUUCUGACAUCAACCCGAUUUAAAUUUUCAACCAAAAUACAACGUCUCUCCGACGUUAUAUUGACGUCCGGUGCCUGCUGGGAACACUCGUGCACGUGGAAGAAAACGGACGGUGCUCUACAGAUCGCAUGAUUCCGUGGAUAAUUAAUAGAAAUGUUAUAUAAGAACACGUGAGAAUAAAUGUGUCCUUAAAUACCAAUGAUAACAAGGACUCAGCAUCCACUCUCUUCUCUUAUCCGGGAUACUUUUCUUGGGUGUUUGUUUACACUGGUUUUCGAAACAGCGCCACCAUUCUCACCGUUUUGUGCAACAGCAGCUGCUCCGGUCACGUGAUCCUAGCUCAAAACUUAUUGGACGGCCAGUGUUUUCGCUUUGCGAAACUGAAAAGAUUCGUCGGACUGGUGCGAAAAAAAAAAAACAUUUUCGGCGCGCGAAUGGUCGUGGUCUAUGUGGAAGCAUCCAUAGAAAUCUAUUGUUUUAUUACAGCGUGUCAUCGCGUCCGAUAUUUGUUUAGCUUUUUCACGCUCAGUGUGGAAAGGCCUUAAUAAUGCAAUAGUGUGUUCAGUAUUCAAAUUUUUCUAAAAAUAUUUUGUACUUAUUUUCACUUUUAGGCACUUUAGAAAAUAUGUUUUGAUAUAUUUGCAUGAAAUACAGGUUUGUUAAAUCUUGGGUAUUUAAGUCAUUUUAAUAUAAAGGUCGUUUUGCAACAAGGUGGACACAGUUCUAAUCCUAACAGUAGACCUUCUGGUGAAGAACUGACAAGAUAAAAAAGCAAAAGACAGAGAUAUUGGGGGAAAUGAAGAAAAAGGAAGUGAAGGUGCAGUUCAAGAGACAACCUUUAAUUAUUUUCCAGGGACCCAGACCAACCCAGCAAACAAUGACCUGGCGGUCCACCAGCGUUUUUUGGGCGGCACAAAUUCAGCGGCUUAAUACGGUCGGACCACCAUCGGCGAGCCGACCAAUCUAAAAACGCUGUCGGUUGUCAGAUGUUGACCCAGUUUCCUUAGUUCUCCUCAUUAGUUAAUUAGCUCCUCACCUGUUUCUGUUUCCCCUUUGAUUACGUUGAUUAUUUAAAGCCUGUGUUCUCUCCUCUUUCUUUGUCUGCUAUUAUACGUUUGCCUUGUGUUUUGCUACUCCUUGCUCCUGCAAUUCUACUGUGGAUUAUUAUUAAAAGACUUUUGUUUGAAUUACACCCUCGUCGUGCAUUUGAUUAGCCUACACAUGUAACAUCGGUCAGCCGGCGUUUUUUUGGGUGGCACGCUCCGUCUGUGCACCAGUGGCAAGCGGAGGGUCAGUGUUUCUACUGAGCUCUUACAUGACAUCUUUGUUUUAUAAAUUAUAUAUAUAUUACAUUUGUUUUACAUUACAUUUUUACAGUUAAAAGGAAUCUGAAGCACUGAAUAGAGAGUUAUAAUUAUUAACAAAAGUUUAGUAUAAAAACUGCAAGCACAUUUUUAAAUGAAAUAAAUAGUUCGAAUGAUCGUAAAAACAACAAUACAAACUAAUUAAAAAAAAUAGCAAAAAAAAAAAUCUAUAAAAAUUAAAUAAAAAUAAAACUGCUACUUUGUCCUACUAUCACGUGCGGGUUGCAGUUUACACCUAUGUAUGAAUGGGUCAUAUAACUACAUACGAUUAAAAUUCAAAAUUAAAUAUUUUUUUUGUUGUUGUUUAUAUAUAAUGAUGUUCUAUAUAAUGUUUAUUUAAACGGUGCGUGACUGUGACGUGUAUUGAUGGACGCACGCUCUGAGUCUCUUUCAAACGCUGCAGGAGGGAGUUACCAUGGAAACGGGGCGGCAACUCUCCAACUAACAGCUGCAACACUGCAUCUCUAGCUGCUGUUUUCACCGUUUUCAGGAGCAACACUUCUACAACAGAAGAGAAGCUCCAAGAUAUCUAAAUUUCUGAAGGAAGCUGCUGACAGAGAUGUGGGAAACAUAGGUUUCCAUCUCAGUGUGACUACAGCUCGGAUCCAGCCUCACUUGUGGUGACUUCAGAUGAAGACCCCAGAUGAUGGCAACUAUAGAUGAACAUACCAACCUGACAAAUGUUAUGUAUUGUAAUCAUUGCCUUAAAGCAUACGUUGAGUGAUUUUCAACCCACUUUGUAUUAUUACUAUGAUGGUAAUAUAUGUGAACGAACAAUGUUUAAUCUUUCUCUGAGUUACAUGAGAUAUACCCAUUUAUUUGUCAGCCAAAUAAUAUUUUGCAUUAUCCGAAUAUUGUUUAUUUACAUAUUACAGACUUUGUGGCAGUAUAAAGUGGAUUUAAAUUCACCAAACUUACCCUUUAAUGUUUGUCUGUUUAACUGAACAUGACUUUGAACACAUAACUUGUAUUAUCUUAGAGUUAUUGACAUAUAGACAUUAAUUUGUUGUCAGAAGAUGCUCCCCAUUGAGUCACAGUCACCUCAGGCUGUUGAUGGGAUUUUUUUUUUUUUUUUGAAACUUUGAAAUUUUCUAAAGCUGCUUUGAUUGUGAAAAGCAGUGUACCCUUACAACAGUUAACCCUGUUUUUACUAUGGUAAAACUAGUAAUCAUAGCUUUCCUGUAGCUCAAAUAGUAGAGCAUGGCGCUAGCAACGCCAAGAUCAUGGGUUCAAUUCCCAGGGAAAGCAAGAGCUGAUAAAAUGUAAAAACUGUAACUUGAAUGCAAUGUAAGUCGCUUUGGAUAAAAGCGUCUGCUAAAUGCAUAAAUGUAAAUGUAAUCAUAACUGUAGUAAUCAGGGUUUUUUACUUUUUCUCAAACUAAGGUUUUGAUAUCAUGGUUCUACUAAAGUAAUAUUUUAGUAAUGCUGGAGUAAAACUGUGCUAACCAUAGUUUUUGAAACUAUGGUGAAGUUUGUAGUUACUAUAGGUUUACUACUAUGCUGUAGUAAGACCAAGGUUAUGGUAGUUAUUUACUACAACAAUCAUAGUUAAACCAUGGUUAAUUUUGUGGUUGACUUUUGUAGGGGUACAGAUAUGUGAAUUGAAUGCUUCUAUUUGAAAGUCCCACUGGAUAAAACUAUCUGAUAUGUAUAGCCUACUGUAAAUGCA